rnacentral:rRNA from 1 species
GUAGUCCUGGCUGUAAACACUGCCCGCUUGGUGUGGCCUGUCCUCCGGGGGCAGGCCGUGCCGGAGCGAAGGUGUUAAGCGGGCUGCUUGGGGAGUACGGCCGCAAGGUUGAAACUUAAAGGAAUUGGCGGGGGAGCACCGCAACGGGAGGAUGCGUGCGGUUUAAUUGGAUUCAACGCCGGGAAACUCACCGGGGGAGACCAGCGAAUGUGGGUCAAGCUGACGACUUUACUCGAAUAAAAGCUGGGGAGGUGGUGCAUGGCCAUCGUCAGCUCGUACCGUAGGGCAUUCACUUAAGUGUGAUAACGAGCGAGACCCCCAUUCCUAGUUGCCAACCUUUCUGAAAAGGAAGGCGCACUCUAGGAAGACCGCUUUCGCUAAGGAAGAGGAAGGUGGGGUCGACGGUAGGUCAGUAUGCCCCGAAUCCCCCGGGCUACACGCGCGCUACAAAGGACAGGACAAUGGGUUCCGACCCCGAAAGGGGAAGGUAAUCUCGAAACCUGUUCGUAGUCCGGAUUGAGGGCUGUAACUCGCCCUCAUGAAGCUGGAUUCCGUAGUAAUCGCGGAUCAACAGUCCGCGGUGAAUAUGCCCCUGCUCCUUGCACACACCGCCCGUCAAGCCAUCCGAGUCGGUUUUAGGUGAGGCCCAGCCGUAAGGUUGGGUCGAACCUAGGGUCGGCGAGGAGGGCUAAGUCGUAACAAGGUAUCCGUAGGGGAACCUGCGGCUGGAUCACCUCC